rnacentral:lncRNA from 1 species
AUUGGCUUGCGUCGUCUGCUUGGCAACAUUUUUCAGACUGCUGGCUAUUAGCAGACAGAGCAUGCGCAGAAGAAGUCGAGCCAACUGGGAAACGGCGCUUUGGGGCUGGGGGUCAACUCCAGACAGUGGGACAGGCCAGAGCACGUCGUGGGGGUCACUCCCCUCAAGGAAGUUUCCCACAGCUGGGGACACUACGUCCUUGAACCCUACAGCAUGGUUCACUAUUCCACUCCAUCAGACAGAGAUAAUGUUUCUUGUGAACAAGAGUCUCAGAAGACAACUGACAACCAAGUGUAAAAUUUUAGAGAGGUCUUGAUGUCCCCAAGUCUUUCAACCACUAAAAUGAUUUGUGAUCUUUGAAGUACAGAACAAUGAAAUUACAUCGUCAUAGAUGGAAAACCACAUGUUCUAAUACAGACAGUGAAGACCUUUGUUGGCCUGGGAUCCAUAAUGCCAGCUAGGUUAACUCCAUUCAAAAAUAUCACUGAGAGCCCAUCUUAGUGGUUUAUUCUCAGGACUGAAGGAGGCCAAAGGACUCCAUUUGACUUGAUGAGAGGCUGAGUAAAAAAUUGGUUCUUCAGUCUUAUAUGGCAGAUUGACAAAAUUUAAAGCAUAUUAUAGGGAAAUAAUGGAGGAAAAGUUGAGGAGGACUCCCCAAAUCCAAGGGAUUUUUGUGUCUGAAGGCACAGGUGCUGAGGUGAGGAAGAGUCGGUGUUUCCCCCAAAUCCACUGGUCUGCAUCAUUCAUCACAGACAGAGGAAUCAAAGUUGUGCUUCAUUGGAAGAAGGAGAACCAGACCGUUUCUCUCUUUGUGGCUUACCUCAGGAUGUCCGCAAGGCAUCCAGUCUUUAUGCCUCAGAUAGUUGCUGGCAACUCCACCCACCCCUCGGGUUUAAAAUGCUCCAGCACAAAUUCAUAGGAUCUAGUGGGAGCACCAUCCCCAUCUUCCUCACUGACACCCCGGCAGCAGCAGCAGCCAGCUGUGGUGUCCAGAGUCCAACAGCGGCAUCAGCAGGAUCCAGAUGGGACUGGGGUGUGGUUCUGGUUAACUAGCUGCUCAUUUCUUCCUGCCUGCGCUAUGGGCUUCCAGCUACCCGUGUCUUCAGUAAAUUACUUUUCCACUCAUAACAGACAGAGCCAGUCUCUUUUGCUUAAAAGUAGAGAUGCUGGCUGACACAUAUUACCCUUUAAAAAGCACGUGCCUCCCACCAUCUUCCCUUCUCCCCUAACUGUCCUAGCUGGGUGUGAGCCAGAAACUUUUAAAAGGCACGAGAGUGGAAAGAAACUGAUUCUAAG